GUGCUUGCUUUUCCAGCAUAUAUCCUAACGUUGGAAUGAUACAGAGAAGAUUAGCAUCACCCUGAGCAGGGAUAACACCGAAUUCAUGAAGUGUUCCAUAUUUUU
rnacentral:snRNA from 1 species